UAGCGUAGGGGUGCGAGCGUUGUCCGGAAUUACUGGGCGUAAAGAGCUCGUAGGUGGUUUGUCGCGUUGUUCGUGAAAACUCACAGCUCAACUGUGGGCGUGCGGGCGAUACGGGCAGACUGGAGUACUGCAGGGGAGACUGGAAUUCCUGGUGUAGCGGUGGAAUGCGCAGAUAGUCGGGGAGGAACACCAGUAGCGAAGGCGGCACUCUGGGCCGGUACUGACGCUGAGGAGCGAAAGCGUGGGGAGCGAACAGG
rnacentral:rRNA from 1 species